GUUAAUCCACUUAAUUGAGAUUAAAGAAAUAAAUCAAAAUUUUGCUUCAUUGUUCAUUGUAUAUUUUGUAUAUUACUUGUUAACAAAAGAGUUCAAACUGACUUGAUAUUAAUUAUUUUUAAGCUGAAAAAUAAAAGAUCAUGUAAAGACUGUUUUACAAUAUAAAGGCAUAGAAUCUCAUGUGGCAUUCCUUGGGUAUCCAGCUCAAUAUACUCGGUUGCUAUAGAAACCAUUUCUAAGGAGACAGAAGAAAGAAGUGUGGGUGUUUCUAUUGCUGGCUGUGUGUCUGAAAGAAAUGAAGAGUAAACAAAUAGUAGUACUUCUCUUUAACACAGAACGUUCAUCAUUGCUGCAAGGAGUGACAGAAGCACUGGCAUCAAGAGAAGAGACGAAAAAACACUAGAGUAAAUAAAAAUUUAUCCAAAGUC